CCUACGGGAGGCAGCAGUGGGGAAUCUUGCGCAAUGGGCGGAAGCCUGACGCAGCAACGCCGCGUGCGGGAAGAAGGCCUUAGGGUCGUAAACCGCUUUCAGGGGGGACGAAGCUUCCGGGGUUAAUAGCCUACGGGGUGACGGUACUCCCAAAAGAAGGUCCGGCUAACUACGUGCCAGCAGCCGCGGUAAUACGUAGGGACCGAGCGUUGUCCGGAAUCAUUGGGCGUAAAGAGCGUGUAGGCGGCCUAGUAGGUCUCGUGUGAAAUCCCGUGGCUCAACCACGGACACGCACGGAAAACCCCUAGGCUCGAGUCCGGAAGAGGAGAGCGGAAUUCCUGGUGUAGCGGUGAAAUGCGCAGAUAUCAGGAAGAACACCCGUAGCGAAGGCGGCUCUCUGGGACGGUACUGACGCUGAGACGCGAAAGCGUGGGGAGCAAACAGGAUUAGAUACCCUGGUAGUCCACGCCGUAAACGAUGGAUGCUAGGUGUGGGAGGUGUCGACUCCUCCCGUGCCGAAGCUAACGCAUUAAGCANCCGCGNGGNGUACGCGCGAGACGAACGACGAAGAAGUAGUAACGGCGUGAGAGUGCGAGACGACGACGAGGAGAGG
rnacentral:rRNA from 1 species